CCUACGGGAGGCAGCAGUGGGGAAUAUUGCACAAUGGGCGCAAGCCUGAUGCAGCAACGCCGCGUGAGGGACGACGGCCUUCGGGUUGUAAACCUCUUUUAGUAGGGAAGAAGCGAAAGUGACGGUACCUGCAGAAAAAGCACCGGCUAACUACGUGCCAGCAGCCGCGGUAAUACGUAGGGUGCAAGCGUUAUCCGGAAUUAUUGGGCGUAAAGAGCUCGUAGGCGGUUUGUCGCGUCUGCUGUGAAAACUGGAGGCUCAACCUCCAGCCUGCAGUGGGUACGGGCAAACUAGAGUGCGGUAGGGGAGAUUGGAAUUCCUGGUGUAGCGGUGGAAUGCGCAGAUAUCAGGAGGAACACCGAUGGCGAAGGCAGAUCUCUGGGCCGUAACUGACGCUGAGGAGCGAAAGCAUGGGGAGCGAACAGGAUUAGAUACCCUGGUAGUCCAUGCCGUAAACGUUGGGCGCUAGAUGUGGGGACCAUUCCACGGUUUCCGUGUCGCAGCUAACGCAUUAAGCGCCCCGCCUGGGGAGUACGGCCGCAAGGCUAAAACUCAAAAGAGUAGUACGGCGUGAGAGACGCGACGACGACGACGACGGAGGAGG
rnacentral:rRNA from 1 species